AGCCCCCCAGCCUGCUCAGUAGGGUGGCUUCUCAGCCAGGCCAGCAGUCCAUGGAGCCUCUUCGGCCCCUGGCGCAUUUCCUCAUCUACUUACUCGCCUAUUCCUGCGUUUAUUCAUGUUUGUACCUGUUGAUUUAUUUUAUCAACGUCUUCGUAAAGAACUAGGCAACUAAGUUGCAGAAAAAGUCCGAGUCACGGCUUCAGAAAUAGCUGAUUUCUUUCACACGCAGUACCCUGGACUAAGCCAAGACUCAUCUGAUGAACACAUUUCAGGACGACUGCCUCUUUUUUGUUUGUUUCUGUCCCUUAAGAACAGCAUCAAGCUCUAAUCUGCUGCUGAUCAAUUCUCCUCCUCUUGGCAGCCCAGGGAAUCCACAAGAGCCUCGGAUGGGAAAUUCCAGAGAUCCACUAGAAGAGUUGCCACCUUCCCUGGCACCUGCAGGGAGAGGCUGGUUCCUGCACAGGAGCUACACUGCUCGCAAGGUCCCUGCCCAGAGGACUGCAUCCUGUCCACGACCCAGUGACAGCAGAAGAGCCAGCAACCGCUCCGCGGCUCUCUGCCAGCUUGGCAUGGAUCGGGCCUGCCUCUCCCAGUCUAUGGCCUUUCAUCUUUUGAAUCUGAACUUUUUGAAUUGAUAAAGGUUAAAAAUUAAAACAAAAACAAA